UAACUGGGCGUAAAGGGCACGCAGGCGGUGACUUAAGUGAGGUGUGAAAGCCCCGGGCUUAACCUGGGAAUUGCAUUUCAUACUGGGUCGCUAGAGUACUUUAGGGAGGGGUAGAAUUCCACGUGUAGCGGUGAAAUGCGUAGAGAUGUGGAGGAAUACCGAAGGCGAAGGCAGCCCCUUGGGAAUGUACUGACGCUCAUGUGCGAAAGCGUGGGGAGCAAACAGGAUUAGAUACCCUGGUAGUCCACGCUGUAAACGAUGUCGAUUUGGGGGUUGAGCUUUGAGCUUGGCGCCCGUAGCUAACGUGAUAAAUCGACCGCCUGGGGAGUACGGCCGCAAGGUUAAAACUCAAAUGAAUUGACGGGGGCCCGCACAAGCGGUGGAGCAUGUGGUUUAAUUCGAUGCAACGCGAAGAACCUUACCUACUCUUGACAUCCAGAGAACUUUCCAGAGAUGGAUUGGUGCCUUCGGGAACUCUGAGACAGGUGCUGCAUGGCUGUCGUCAGCUCGUGUCGUGAG
rnacentral:rRNA from 1 species